UUGGGGUUGUGUUUCAACAAAAUGGAACAAGAUCAUAGUCUAAUGAUAUAACUACUACUCAUGUGGGUCAGUAUGCAUCUAAUCUAAGCAAAGGAAGCUUCCACAUCUGGGAUGUAUGAACACACAUCCCAACACACCCACUGACCAGAAUCAG